AGUGGCGGACGGGUGAGUAACGCGUGAGAAUCAGCGUUGGGGUCGGGGACAACCACUGGAAACGGUGGCUAAUACCGGAUAAGCCGAUUGGUGAAAGAUUUAUUGCCCGAAGAGGAGCUCGCGUCUGAUUAGCUAGUUGGUGAGGUAAGAGCUCACCAAGGCAGCGAUCAGUAGCUGGUCUGAGAGGACGAUCAGCCACACUGGGACUGAGACACGGCCCAGACUCCUACGGGAGGCAGCAGUGGGGAAUUUUCCGCAAUGGGCGAAAGCCUGACGGAGCAAGACCGCGUGAGGGAGGAAGGCUCUUGGGUUGUAAACCUCUUUUCUCAGGGAAGAAGCUCUGACGGUACCUGAGGAAUCAGCCUCGGCUAACUCCGUGCCAGCAGCCGCGGUAAUACGGAGGAGGCAAGCGUUAUCCGGAAUUAUUGGGCGUAAAGCGUCCGCAGGUGGCGAUUCAAGUCUGCUGUCAAAGCACGGGGCUUAACUCCGUAAAGGCAGUGGAAACUGAAUAGCUAGAGUGCCGUAGGGGUAGAGGGAAUUCCCGGUGUAGCGGUGAAAUGCGUAGAGAUCGGGAAGAACAUCGGUGGCGAAAGCGCUCUACUGGACGGCAACUGACACUCAGGGACGAAAGCUAGGGGAGCGAAUGGGAUUAGAUACCCC
rnacentral:rRNA from 1 species